rnacentral:rRNA from 1 species
UACGGAGGGUGCAAGCGUUAUCCGGAUUCACUGGGUUUAAAGGGUGCGUAGGUGGGUUGGUAAGUCAGUGGUGAAAUCUCCAGGCUUAACUUGGAAACUGCCCAUUGGAUACUAUCAAUCUUGAAUACCGUGGAGGUCAGCGGAAUAUGUCAUGUAGCGGUGAAAUGCUUAGAUAUGACAUAGAACACCAAUUGCGAAGGCAGCUGGCUACACGAAUAUUGACACUGAUGCACGAAAAGCGUGGGGGAUCAAACAGGAUUGAGAUAC